AGGUUGACAUGAAAGCAUUGGCUUACAUGAACGAAGAAGAUAUGAAGUCUUUAGGAAUUCCAAUGGGUCCCAGGAAAAAGAUACUGUCAGCAUUGGCUCACAAAGAGAGGAAGUCAUCAAAACCAUUGCCUACCAGUUGAGAGAUAUCUGGGCUUGUGUAUUAGCUAGACAGCUUGUUGAUGUAUGGUUCUAUUGCUAUAUCCAGAUUAUUUGGAUCAUUGGAUGUCAAUUUAUGGUGCCUUGGGAUUGUUCCCCUUAAUUGUAUAAACCUAGUUUUUUCCUGUUGCUGCUGCAUAGUAUGACUAUGUCGAUGAAUAUCACCUAAUUCUCGGCACCACAUUUUGGAGGUUUUUGGGUUGUUAGUACCCUUUGUUUUAUGCAGAAUGCUUUUAUUUUUC